UACAGAGGGUGCGAGCGUUUAAUCGGAAUUACUGGGCGUAAAGCGUGCGUAGACGGCUAUCUAAGUCGGGUGUGAAAUCCCCCGGGCUUAACCUGGGAACUGCAUUUGUGACUGCAUAGCUAGAGUCUGUCAGAGGGGGGGUGGAAUUCCACGUGUAGCAGUGAAAUGCGUAGAGAUGUGGAGGAACACCGAUGGCGAAGGCAGCCCCCCUGGGAUAAGACUGACGCUCAUGUACGAAAGCGUGGGGAGCAAACAGG
rnacentral:rRNA from 1 species